rnacentral:rRNA from 1 species
UAGCUAGUUGGUGGGGUAAGGGCCUACCAAGGCGACGAUCGGUAGCUGGUCUGAGAGGAUGACCAGCCACACUGGAACUGAGACACGGUCCAGACUCCUACGGGAGGCAGCAGUGGGGAAUAUUGGACAAUGGGGGCAACCCUGAUCCAGCAAUGCCGCGUGUGUGAAGAAGGCCUGAGGGUUGUAAAGCACUUUCAGUGGGGAGGAGGGUUGAUAGGUUAAGAGCUAAUUAACUGGACGUUACCCACAGAAGAAGCACCGGCUAACUCCGUGCCAGCAGCCGCGGUAAUACGGAGGGUGCGAGCGUUAAUCGGAAUUACUGGGCGUAAAGGGUGCGUAGGUGGUUGAUUAAGUUAUCUGUGAAAUUCCUGGGCUNAACCUGGGACGGUCAGAUAAUACUGGUUGACUCGAGUAUAGGAGAGGGUAGUGGAAUUUCCGGUGUAGCGGUGAAAUGCGUAGAGAUCGGAAGGAACACCAGUGGCGAAGGCGGCUACCUGGCCUAAUACUGACACUGAGGCACGAAAGCGUGGGGAGCAAACAGGAUUAGAUACCCUGGUAGUCCACGCUGUAAACGAUGUCAACUAGCUGUUGGUUAUAUGAAAAUAAUUAGUGGCGC